UACGAAGGGGGCUAGCGUUGCUCGGAAUUACUGGGCGUAAAGCGCACGUAGGCGGUUUCUUAAGUCGGGGGUGAAAUCCUGGAGCUCAACUCCAGAACUGCCUUCGAUACUGGGAAACUUGAGUCCGGGAGAGGUGAGUGGAACUGCGAGUGUAGAGGUGAAAUUCGUAGAUAUUCGCAAGAACACCAGUGGCGAAGGCGGCUCACUGGCCCGGUACUGACGCUGAGGUGCGAAAGCGUGGGGAGCAACAGG
rnacentral:rRNA from 1 species